GACGAACGCUGGCGGCGUGCUUAACACAUGCAAGUCGAACGGUAAGGCCCUUCGGGGUACACGAGUGGCGAACGGGUGAGUAACACGUGGGUGAUCUGCCCUGCACUUCGGGAUAAGCCUGGGAAACUGGAUCUAAUACCGGAUAGGACUCCGAAUCGCAUGGUUUGGGGUGGAAAGCUUUUGCGGUGUGGGAUGGGCCCGCGGCCUAUCAGCUUGUUGGUGGGGUGAUGGCCUACCAAGGCGACGACGGGUAGCCGGCCUGAGAGGGUGUCCGGCCACACUGGGACUGAGAUACGGCCCAGACUCCUACGGGAGGCAGCAGUGGGGAAUAUUGCACAAUGGGCGCAAGCCUGAUGCAGCGACGCCGCGUGAGGGAUGACGGCCUUCGGGUUGUAACCUCUUUCAAUAGGGACGAAGCGUAAGUGACGGUACCUAUAGAAGAAGCACCGGCCAACUACGUGCCAGCAGCCGCGGUAA
rnacentral:rRNA from 1 species